UGGUAUGUUUGGAAGGCUAACUGUUCUGUGGUUGCACACAGCCAGGAGAUCAGCAGCCAGAGCACCAUCUGUGCACGUAGCUUAUGUGUAUGACCCAGCUUCCUCACAAAGGAAUGUGUCAGCUUCUGCUUUUCCAGAUCAAUUGAAAGCCUCCUUCAUGCUCCAGUGAAAUUCUGUGACUGUUCCAUGAAGUCAGAUCUAAUCUCCUUGCCCGGCACGCCCAAUGGAUACAGGUUUCCUUCAGCAAGAAGCUCUUCCUGCAGUGCUGCUUCCACACAUUGGAGCUGGGAAGGUUCAGCAGCUCUUCAGCGUCACCUCACCACCCUGUGAGUUGUGGAAGAAUCAUCUCAGCAUCCUGGAGAACGCAAUGAUAAUGGAAACUAAAGGAGACAUACAGUGAGAUAAAUGCCAAUAGCAGAGGUUCUCUGGAUUUACACAGAUCUAUCCCAGACUUGCACCUAAUCCCCUCCCAAGAAAUUUUUAUGAAUGUGUGCCUUUGGAAUGGGCUCAGACUGACAUUUACAGCUACAAGCAGUGAGAGAGGUCUGUGACAGUAGGGACAACAAAUUAAAGAGUCCCUGAACACUUUUCAGAGAACCAUUGCGUCCAGACAAGAGAUGUUAAGCUACUGUAAGGAGCAUCAUUUCAGGGCCUCACAAUGCAUUUUUAUAAACAUAGGGUCAGACUUCACCACCUGGCAGCCCAGCCCAGCUACUUUCCCUUCCUCUAUCCCAGAAGGUGCAGCAGACGGAGGAGGUCCUGGCUGCAGUGAAGCAAUGGGAUCCUUGAGUCUCGUAGGAGUGGAG